rnacentral:rRNA from 1 species
CAGUCGCGCGGUAAUACGUAGGUGGCAAGCGUUGUCCGGAAUUAUUGGGCGUAAAGGGCUCGCAGGCGGUUUCUUAAGUCUGAUGUGAAAGCCCCCGGCUCAACCGGGGAGGGUCAUUGGAAACUGGGAAACUUGAGUGCAGAAGAGGAGAGUGGAAUUCCACGUGUAGCGGUGAAAUGCGUAGAGAUGUGGAGGAACACCAGUGGCGAAGGCGACUCUCUGGUCUGUAACUGACGCUGAGGAGCGAAAGCGUGGGGAGCGAACAGGAUUAGAUACCCGCGUAGUCCCUGUCUCUUAUACA